rnacentral:rRNA from 1 species
UACGUAGGGUGCGAGCGUUGUCCGGAAUUAUUGGGCGUAAAGAGCUCGUAGCGGUUUGUCGCGUCUGCCGUGAAAGUCCGGGGCUCAACUCCGGAUCUGCGGUGGGUACGGGCAGACUAGAGUGAUGUAGGGGAGACUGGAAUUCCUGGUGUAGCGGUGAAAUGCGUUGAGAUCGGAAGGAACGCCCGUGGCGAAAGCGAGCUCCUGGACGUUCACUGACGCUGAGACGCGAAAGCCAGGGGAGCGAACGGG